GCUAGAAAAUUGGGCAAUGGGGGAAACCCUGACCCAGUGACGCCGCGUGCAGGAAGAAGCCCUUCGGGGUGUAAACUGCUGUCGUGCGGGGCGAAGGGUCCAUAGGCGAAUAGCUUAUGGGCUUGACGGUACCGCAGGAGGAAGCCCAGGCUAACCUCGUGCCAGCAGCCGCGGUAAUACGGGGUGGGCGAGCGUUGCCCGGAAUUACUGGGUUUAAAGGGGGUGUAGGCGGUCCGGAGAGUCAGGUGUGUAAUCCAACCGCUCAACGGUUGGGCUGCACCUGAUACUUCCGGGCUAGAGGGCGGUAGAGGAGAGCGGAACUCCCGGUGUAGCGGUGAAAUGCGUAGAUAUCGGGAGGAACGCCGGUGGCGAAAGCGGCUCUCUGGGGCCGUUCCUGACGCUGAGGCCCCGAAAGCUGGGGGAGCGAAAG
rnacentral:rRNA from 1 species